UUAAGCGACUAAGCGUACACGGUGGAUGCCCUGGCAGUCAGAGGCGAUGAAGGACGUGCUAAUCUGCGAUAAGCGUCGGUAAGGUGAUAUGAACCGUUAUAACCGGCGAUUUCCGAAUGGGGAAACCCAGUGUGUUUCGACACACUAUCAUUAACUGAAUCCAUAGGUUAAUGAGGCGAACCGGGGGAACUGAAACAUCUAAGUACCCCGAGGAAAAGAAAUCAACCGAGAUUCCCCCAGUAGCGGCGAGCGAACGGGGAGCAGCCCAGAGCCUGAAUCAGUGUGUGUGUUAGUGGAAGCGUCUGGAAAGGCGCGCGAUACAGGGUGACAGCCCCGUACACAAAAAUGCACAUGCUGUGAGCUCGAUGAGUAGGGCGGGACACGUGGUAUCCUGUCUGAAUAUGGGGGGACCAUCCUCCAAGGCUAAAUACUCCUGACUGACCGAUAGUGAACCAGUACCGUGAGGGAAAGGCGAAAAGAACCCCGGCGAGGGGAGUGAAAAAGAACCUGAAACCGUGUACGUACAAGCAGUGGGAGCACGCUUAGGCGUGUGACUGCGUACCUUUUGUAUAAUGGGUCAGCGACUUAUAUUCUGUAGCAAGGUUAACCGAAUAGGGGAGCCGAAGGGAAACCGAGUCUUAACUGGGCGUUAAGUUGCAGGGUAUAGACCCGAAACCCGGUGAUCUAGCCAUGGGCAGGUUGAAGGUUGGGUAACACUAACUGGAGGACCGAACCGACUAAUGUUGAAAAAUUAGCGGAUGACUUGUGGCUGGGGGUGAAAGGCCAAUCAAACCGGGAGAUAGCUGGUUCUCCCCGAAAGCUAUUUAGGUAGCGCCUCGUGAAUUCAUCUCCGGGGGUAGAGCACUGUUUCGGCAAGGGGGUCAUCCCGACUUACCAACCCGAUGCAAACUGCGAAUACCGGAGAAUGUUAUCACGGGAGACACACGGCGGGUGCUAACGUCCGUCGUGAAGAGGGAAACAACCCAGACCGCCAGCUAAGGUCCCAAAGUCAUGGUUAAGUGGGAAACGAUGUGGGAAGGCCCAGACAGCCAGGAUGUUGGCUUAGAAGCAGCCAUCAUUUAAAGAAAGCGUAAUAGCUCACUGGUCGAGUCGGCCUGCGCGGAAGAUGUAACGGGGCUAAACCAUGCACCGAAGCUGCGGCAGCGACACUAUGUGUUGUUGGGUAGGGGAGCGUUCUGUAAGCCUGCGAAGGUGUGCUGUGAGGUAUGCUGGAGGUAUCAGAAGUGCGAAUGCUGACAUAAGUAACGAUAAAGCGGGUGAAAAGCCCGCUCGCCGGAAGACCAAGGGUUCCUGUCCAACGUUAAUCGGGGCAGGGUGAGUCGACCCCUAAGGCGAGGCCGAAAGGCGUAGUCGAUGGGAAACAGGUUAAUAUUCCUGUACUUGGUGUUACUGCGAAGGGGGGACGGAGAAGGCUAUGUUGGCCGGGCGACGGUUGUCCCGGUUUAAGCGUGUAGGCUGGUUUUCCAGGCAAAUCCGGAAAAUCAAGGCUGAGGCGUGAUGACGAGGCACUACGGUGCUGAAGCAACAAAUGCCCUGCUUCCAGGAAAAGCCUCUAAGCAUCAGGUAACAUCAAAUCGUACCCCAAACCGACACAGGUGGUCAGGUAGAGAAUACCAAGGCGCUUGAGAGAACUCGGGUGAAGGAACUAGGCAAAAUGGUGCCGUAACUUCGGGAGAAGGCACGCUGAUAUGUAGGUGAAGUCCCUCGCGGAUGGAGCUGAAAUCAGUCGAAGAUACCAGCUGGCUGCAACUGUUUAUUAAAAACACAGCACUGUGCAAACACGAAAGUGGACGUAUACGGUGUGACGCCUGCCCGGUGCCGGAAGGUUAAUUGAUGGGGUUAGCCGCAAGGCGAAGCUCUUGAUCGAAGCCCCGGUAAACGGCGGCCGUAACUAUAACGGUCCUAAGGUAGCGAAAUUCCUUGUCGGGUAAGUUCCGACCUGCACGAAUGGCGUAAUGAUGGCCAGGCUGUCUCCACCCGAGACUCAGUGAAAUUGAACUCGCUGUGAAGAUGCAGUGUACCCGCGGCAAGACGGAAAGACCCCGUGAACCUUUACUAUAGCUUGACACUGAACAUUGAGCCUUGAUGUGUAGGAUAGGUGGGAGGCUUUGAAGUGUGGACGCCAGUCUGCAUGGAGCCGACCUUGAAAUACCACCCUUUAAUGUUUGAUGUUCUAACGUUGACCCGUAAUCCGGGUUGCGGACAGUGUCUGGUGGGUAGUUUGACUGGGGCGGUCUCCUCUAAAGAGUAACGGAGGAGCACGAAGGUUGGCUAAUCCUGGUCGGACAUCAGGAGGUUAGUGCAAUGGCAUAAGCCAGCUUGACUGCGAGCGUGACGGCGCGAGCAGGUGCGAAAGCAGGUCAUAGUGAUCCGGUGGUUCUGAAUGGAAGGGCCAUCGCUCAACGGAUAAAAGGUACUCCGGGGAUAACAGGCUGAUACCGCCCAAGAGUUCAUAUCGACGGCGGUGUUUGGCACCUCGAUGUCGGCUCAUCACAUCCUGGGGCUGAAGUAGGUCCCAAGGGUAUGGCUGUUCGCCAUUUAAAGUGGUACGCGAGCUGGGUUUAGAACGUCGUGAGACAGUUCGGUCCCUAUCUGCCGUGGGCGCUGGAGAACUGAGGGGGGCUGCUCCUAGUACGAGAGGACCGGAGUGGACGCAUCACUGGUGUUCGGGUUGUCAUGCCAAUGGCACUGCCCGGUAGCUAAAUGCGGAAGAGAUAAGUGCUGAAAGCAUCUAAGCACGAAACUUGCCCCGAGAUGAGUUCUCCCUGACUCCUUGAGAGUCCUGAAGGAACGUUGAAGACGACGACGUUGAUAGGCCGGGUGUGUAAGCGCAGCGAUGCGUUGAGCUAACCGGUACUAAUGAACCGUGAGGCUUAACCU
rnacentral:rRNA from 1 species